UGGCCAAGGAUGAAAACAAUAAUCUGAUUCUUUACAUGCUUGAUACGCAAAAAUGAUGAAUGAAAGGAUUUUCUGAGGCCA
ensembl:snoRNA